AACAAAUGGUGCUGGAGCUAUAAGACAUUGCUAUAGACUAAAUUGUGUCUCCCCAAAAUUCAUAAAUUCAAAAACGUUAGGCUACUUGCCUCUUCUCCUUGCCUCUUGGAACACACUUGAUGUGUUUAGCUGAGUAUCUCAAGGAGAGUGUUUAUUGUUUAAAAAAAGAAAAAAGUAUUUCAAGCCCCCUGGAGAGCACAGCCAGUUUCUCAAUAAAGAAAUAGGACUACAGUUCUAUUUUGUUUGUUUUCAGAACUGAAGCCACAGUUUGAUGGACAGAUAGGAGGUAGCCAUAUCGUGCUCUGCUAGAGGUGAAAUUCUUGUAUAGACAGAAGAACUAGAGAAAAGUAUUUGUCGAGAAUGUUUUCCUUAAUCAAGGAUGAAAGUCAGAGGUUUGAAGACAAUCAGAUACCAUUGUAGUUCCAGUCCAAAGCAAUGCAGAUUAGGCCAUGUGACAGUGUAAUUCUCAAGACCCUUAGGGCAGUUUUCAGGAAAUCAAAGUCUUUGAGUCCUGGGCAUCGUAUGGUUACAAAGGUUUAACUUAAGGGAAUUGAUGGAAAGUUACCCCAGAAGUGGAGCCUGAGGAUUAAUUUGCCUCAUCAGGGGAUCCUUGCCCAGACCAGAUACAGACAGGAUUGACAGCUCUUCACUGGCUAUCCUAAAUUGGUAGAGCAAUUUGUGUGGUUAAUUCUGAUAAGGAAGGAAAUUCCAGCAUGCUAACUGAUGACCCUGCACAGUUAGUUUCCCCCAACUUCUUAGAGGGACAAGUAGGAUUCAGCCCCUCCAGACUGAACAUUCACAAGUCUGUGACACCUUUACAUGGCCAGGGCUGCUCCCGCUACACUGACUGAGUGUGUGUGCCUUCCCUAGUCUCGCAGGCGUUGAUCACUCAUUGAACUCCAUUCCCCAUCAGGCACUGUAAUUAUUCUUCAGCUAGUCACUCCUACCAGUCAUAUGGUUUAGUGAAGCACUCAAAUUGGCCUCAGUGCAAAGGCCAUAAUUGUGGUGGAGUGCUGAGAAGAUGGUCGAAUUUUAUUUUGUAAAGGAAGUUAAAGUCAUAACAAGGUUUCCCUAAGUGAACGUGGGGAAAGAUCAAGA
rnacentral:ncRNA from 1 species